AACGUAGGUGGCGAGCGUUAUCCGGAUUUAUUGGGCGUAAAGAGCUCGUAGGCGGCUUGGCAAGUCGGGUGUGAAAACUUCAGGCUCAACCUGGAGCGGCCACUCGAUACUGCCAUGGCUUGAGUCCGGUAGGGGACCACGGAAUUCCUGGUGUAGCGGUGAAAUGCGCAGAUAUCAGGAGGAACACCGGUGGCGAAGGCGGUGGUCUGGGCCGGAACUGACGCUGAGGAGCGAAAGCGUGGGGAGCGAACAGG
rnacentral:rRNA from 1 species